UACGAAGGGAGCUAGCGUUGUUCGGAAUCACUGGGCGUAAAGCGCACGUAGGCGGAUGUGUCAGUCAGGGGUGAAAUCCCGGAGCUCAACUUCGGAACUGCCUUUGAUACAGCACGUCUUGAGUCCGGAAGAGGUGGGUGGAAUUCCUAGUGUAGAGGUGAAAUUCGUAGAUAUUAGGAAGAACACCGGUGGCGAAGGCGGCCCACUGGUCCGGUACUGACGCUGAGGUGCGAAAGCGUGGGGGAGCAAACAGG
rnacentral:rRNA from 1 species